UACAUGGGGUGCAAACGUUGCUCGGAAUCACUGGGCGUAAAGCGCACGUAGGCGGAUUGUUAAGUCAGGGGUGAAAUCCUGGAGCUCAACUCCAGAACUGCCUUUGAUACUGGCGAUCUUGAGUCCGGGAGAGGUGAGUGGAACUCCGAGUGUAGAGGUGAAAUUCGUAGAUAUUCGGAAGAACACCAGUGGCGAAGGCGGCUCACUGGCCCGGUACUGACGCUGAUGUGCGAAAGCGUGGGGAGCAAACAGG
rnacentral:rRNA from 1 species